rnacentral:rRNA from 1 species
GCAGCCGCCGCGGGAAUACAGAGGGUGCGAGCGUUAAUCGGAUUUACUGGGCGUAAAGCGUGCGUAGGCGGCUUUUUAAGUCGGAUGUGAAAUCCCUGAGCUUAACUUAGGAAUUGCAUUCGAUACUGGGAAGCUAGAGUAUGGGAGAGGAUGGUAGAAUUCCAGGUGUAGCGGUGAAAUGCGUAGAGAUCUGGAGGAAUACCGAUGGCGAAGGCAGCCAUCUGGCCUAAUACUGACGCUGAGGUACGAAAGCAUGGGGAGCAAACAGGAUUAGAUACCCGAGUAGUCCCUGUCUCUUAUAC